rfam:Aedes albopictus isolate Foshan contig149383, whole genome shotgun sequence.
UGUUCUGUGGCUUAGUUGGUUAAACCGCCGUACUAGCGAUACGAAGCCGUGGGUUCGGAUCCCACCGAAACAA